rnacentral:lncRNA from 1 species
GUUGCAAGUAUAACCCCGUCCCUUUUCCCCGACUGUGACGUACUGAAUAAAGAAUUUUGACGGGUUUGUAAUAAUUCGAUCAAUACGACGAGUGCACCAUUUGGAGCAUGAUCUAUCCCUUCAGGAGCACCUGAGAUCACCCCCAUUUUGGUGGACUUUGUGUUGCUCAGUCUUUAGUUUUCUAUGUUGUUUUAUGUGUACUGUUGUUUUUCUGUCCUUUUCAUUUUUUAGCCAUGGCGUUGUCAGUUUAUUUUUUACUUUAGUUUGAAUAUAUCUUUGGUAUCUUUUGUCUCUUUAAUAUGCCGAGCCACUUCCUGUAUACACUCUAAAAGCUAACUAUGAUACUGA